rnacentral:rRNA from 1 species
AGUGAACGCUGGCGGUAGGCCUAACACAUGCAAGUCGAACGGCAGCACAGUAAGAGCUUGCUCUUACGGGUGGCGAGUGGCGGACGGGUGAGGAAUACAUCGGAAUCUACUUUUUCGUGGGGGAUAACGUAGGGAAACUUACGCUAAUACCGCAUACGACCUACGGGUGAAAGCAGGGGAUCUUCGGACCUUGCGCGAUUGAAUGAGCCGAUGUCGGAUUAGCUAGUUGGCGGGGUAAAGGCCCACCAAGGCGACGAUCCGUAGCUGGUCUGAGAGGAUGAUCAGCCACACUGGAACUGAGACACGGUCCAGACUCCGACGGGAGGCAGCAGGGGGGAAUAUUGGACAAUGGGCGCAAGCCUGAUCCAGCCAUACCGCGUGGGUGAAGAAGGCCUUCGGGUUGUAAAGCCCUUUUGUUGGGAAAGAAAAGCAGCAGGUUAAUACCCCGCUGUUCUGACGGUACCCAAAGAAUAAGCACCGGCUAACUUCGU